CCCCACCCAUGAACUCCUAUGUUUCCUCCUACACGAAACAGAGGUGCUGCAGCCCUAGCUGCUGCAGCUAUCUCUCUUUCCUCUCCCUCUUCCCUCUCUUCUUCUUCUUCUUUUCUUCUCUUCUCCCUCUACUUCUCUUCUUCUCCCCACGCCCCACCGCUCCUCUCUCUAUUUGACAGAGAGAGCGUGGGAGGCGGUGGGAUAAAACCGAAAUUUUU
rnacentral:lncRNA from 1 species